rnacentral:rRNA from 1 species
CGGUGACCGAGUGACAGGUGCUGCAUGGCUGUCGUCAGCUCGUGUCGUGAGAUGUUCGGUUAAGUCCGGCAACGAGCGCAACCCACAUCUUCAGUUGCCAGCAGUUCGGCUGGGCACUCUGGAGAAACUGCCCGUGAUAAGCGGGAGGAAGGUGUGGAUGACGUCAAGUCCUCAUGGCCCUUACGGGUUGGGCUACACACGUGCUACAAUGGCAGUGACAAUGGGUUAAUCCCAAAAAACUGUCUCAGUUCGGAUUGGGGUCUGCAACUCGACCCCAUGAAGUCGGAAUCGCUAGUAAUCGCGUAACAGCAUGACGCGGUGAAUACGUUCCCGGGCCUUGUACACACCGC